rfam:Picea glauca, whole genome shotgun sequence.
AUGUACAUUCCUACAGCAUAGCGUUAAUGCACCGGAUCCCAUUAGAACUUCACAAUCAAGAACACUCAGGCUAGAGUAGUACUGGGAUGGGUGACCACCUAGGAAAUCCUAGUGUUUUACAUG